AUGCGCCAGCCAGGGCCCGUGGGAGCCCUCUCUGCCCCGGGGACAGUGACAGUGCCACCCCCAAGCUCAUGGAAGGUCCCGUCCUGGCUGGAGGAGGGCCCCAGACCCCCAGUGAGAGCAAAUGCCACCGGAGGGGGUCUGGAUCCGCCUUUGUCUCCUGAGACAGGAGUGACUCAGGCUCCAGCUGCCCGUGGGAGGGAGGGGGAGCCCGGGCUCCCAAGGUCGCGCAGAGCAGAGCUGAGGUUCAGCCUCGCGCCUCACUCCCAAGCACCCCUCCCCACCGACCCUUCCUUGGCCCGAAUAACGCCCCUCGCGUCCCCAGCCGCGAUGCGACGCAGGUGGGGACAGGGACCCCGCGGCCCCUCCUCUCCUAGCCCCGAAGCCAAGCCGGACUCCGCCCCUCUGGGCCUGGGGUCCUUCAGUCCCGCCCCCUCCCCGCGCCCUGCAGCCCGAGUCGGGGCCACGCUAGGGCUGACCGCACAAGCGGCACGCAGUCGGGGUCGCGGAGCUGUCCUGGAUCCGGGCUGCAGCGUGGGCCCCGCCGGGCCCUGGGACCACCCAGACGCCCUCAGCCCCGACAGCUGCCGCGUUCCCUGGGGGAAAGGCCGGGGCCACGCCUUGUUCUUCCUAGGCGCCUCCCCGACUUUCCCACGUCCCGAGGGCACUGCUGCCCUCAGCCACCCCUGUGGGGCUCAGAGCGGCCUGCCCUGUGCCCCCAGGGACCCAGAGCUGCUGCCAGCUUCCACACACAGCGCUGUGCGCCGGCCUGCAGACGCAGCCCGAGGCGAGGGGUCGGCCGCCUCCCUGGCCUCCCCAGCUGGGCCUCCCCGCCGGCUCCCUGAGCCCCCCAGGCAGGAAGUGAAAGGGGCCUGCAGGAAGCCUCGGGAGGAACUGAGACUCCCGCCAGCCCCGCCCCCAGCUGCGGAGCCCUGGGGACCUUGUGGAAAAGCAGGCCCCGCUGCAGGAAAAACCCGCACAGACCCUGUGAGGGGCGCCACUGCCUGGGCUCCCGCCAGUCCCUGUGCAGAGGGAGGCAGGGGUGGGGCCUGGCACCUGGGCCAAUGGCUUUGUGCUGGGAACGCAGAGGGCGUGGGGCAGGGCCACCGCGAACUGCAUCUUGGGCCGGAUCCCUUUGCUGUCUCUAGGCCUCUCUUUGCCUGCCUGCAAAAUGGGCCGUAG
rnacentral:lncRNA from 1 species